CGCAGAUCCAGCGCGCGGCUGCGACGGCGCACGGAGCCCGGCGACGACCGCUCUAGUCCUUGCGACGGCGGUGAUCCAGUGCGUUCCUCUCUCCCUCGCCUCAGCCUCUACCAGUGCGUCCCUCUCUCUCCCUCACCUCAGCCUUUUCACUGACAAACCUGACGAGGACAUCGUUCCCUCUGCAGGAGACGAGGACCCCAGCGAGGGUGCGGUCCAUGGCUGGCUGGCACUGCUGCGCCGACGUAGUGGGCUGUGGCUCCUCACCACAUCGGCGCACUGUGCAUGCCCUAAACUCCAAUACAAUGGUUACUUAAAAUUAAACUUAUUUUAAGACAAGUUAGAAUGGCUACAAAUAACAGUACUAUAGAGCAUAAUUAUCGACGCCGUGGUGCACCGUGCAGAGACCACUCAGAAUCAAAUCACUGAACUAAGUGUCAUAGAACAAGAAAUUCAGAUAAUCAUCAAGUAAACCAAUCAGUGAUAGUAUAAAGCAGCAACCAUUUAACAGUAGCAUCCAAGAUUUCUGAUCACACACAAACAAAGAGAAGCAAUGCAAUGAUACCAAAAAUCUAUCCAUCCAUGGAGUGAGGCAACUCGUGCAAGGAAACCCACAAGCGACAGACAUGGUCGGCGUCAGUCGGCGGCGGCCGGGGCCGCCACCACCUCGACCACCGGAGCGGCGACCGGCUCCGGCGUCUCCUGCUCGUCCUCCUCGUCCUCGGCCUGCACCGAGGCGUCGACCGUAGCGCCGGUGGCGACGAGCN
rnacentral:lncRNA from 1 species